UUCUUUCGGGUCUGUAGUUGCGGAGGCGAAAACCUCCAAGUCCAUGGCAGAUGCGGUCGAAAGGAUCCACGUAAACCGGGUGGGCAACCGCUCGGCGAGCACGGCGCGUUCUAGGAGUAAGACGCAUCGUCCGUUUACACGCGACAUGGUGCCGCGGCGGGCGAGAGGGUGAUGGUGAACAGCUCAGCCCCAAUGCGCGGGUGUGGGGUCGAAGACUAGGUCAGCCGGAGGAA
rnacentral:ncRNA from 12 species